rnacentral:rRNA from 1 species
CAGUCGAACGGUCUUCGCAAGAGGACAGUGGCGCACGGGUGAGGAACACGUAGCUUAUCUGCCCAGAAGUGUGGGAUAACGCCCCGAAAGGGGUGCUAAUACCGCAUAAGCUCCCGCUCUACAGAGGGGUGGGAGAAAAGGGGAAACUCGCUUUUGGAGGAGGCUGCGGCCCAUCAGGUAGUUGGUGCGGUAACGGCGCACCAAGCCGACGACGGGUAGGGGACCUGAGAGGGUGAUCCCCCACACUGGGACUGAGACACGGCCCAGACUCCUACGGGAGGCAGCAGUGAGGAAUAUUGCCCAAUGGGCGCAAGCCUGAGGCAGCGACGCCGCGUGGGUGAUGAAGGCCUUCGGGUCGUAAAGCCCUUUUCUGUGUGACGAGCAAAGGACGGUAGCACAGGAAAAAGUCUCGGCUAACUACGUGCCAGCAGCCGCG